rnacentral:rRNA from 1 species
GGAAUCUUCCACAAUGGGCGCAAGCCUGAUGGAGCAACACCGCGUGAGUGAAGAAGGGUUUCGGCCCGUAAAGCUCUGUUGUUAGAGAAGAACGUGCGUGAGAGCAACUGUUCACGCAGUGACGGUAUCUAACCAGAAAGUCACGGCUAACUACGUGCCAGCAGCCGCGGUAAUACGUAUGUCCCGAGCGUUAUCCGGAUUUAUUGGGCGUAAAGCGAGCGCAGACGGUUGAUUAAGUCUGAUGUGAAAGCCCGGAGCUCAACUCCGGAAUGGCAUUGGAAACUGGUUAACUUGAGUGCAGUAGAGGUAAGUGGAACUCCAUGUGUAGCGGUGGAAUGCGUAGAUAUAUGGAAGAACACCAGUGGCGAAGGCGGCUUACUGGACUGUAACUGACGUUGAGGCUCGAAAGUGUGGGUAGCAAACA